AAUCAACGCUGGCGGCGUGCCUAACACAUGCAAGUCGAACGAGAAAGGGGACUUCGGUCCCUGAGUAAAGUGGCGCACGGGUGAGUAACACGUGACUUAUCUACCCUCGAGUGGGGAAUAACUUCGGGAAACCGAGGCUAAUACCGCAUAAUACCCACGGGUCAAAGGAGCAAUUCGCUUGAGGAGGAGGUCGCGGCCGAUUAGUUAGUUGGCGGGGUAAUGGCCCCACCCAAGACGGUGAUCGGUAUCCGGCCUGAGAGGGCGCACGGACACACUGGAACUGAAACACGGUCCAGACUCCUACGGGAGGCAGCAGUGGGGAAUUUUGCGCAAUGGGGGAAACCCUGACGCAGCAACGCCGCGUGGAGGAUGAAGUCUCUUGGGACGUAAACUCCUUUCGAUCGGGACGAUUAUGACGGUACCGGAAGAAGAAGCCCCGGCUAACUUCGUG
rnacentral:rRNA from 1 species